rnacentral:rRNA from 1 species
UACGUAGGGUGCGAGCGUUAAUCGGAAUUACUGGGCGUAAAGCGUGAGCAGGCGGUCUGUUAAGACAGAUGUGAAAUCCCCGGGCUUAACCUGGGAACUGCAUUUGUGACUGGCAGGCUAGAGUAUGGCAGAGGGGGGUAGAAUUCCACGUGUAGCAGUGAAAUGCGUAGAGAUGUGGAGGAAUACCGAUGGCGAAGGCAGCCCCCUGGGCCAAUACUGACGCUCAUGCACGAAAGCGUGGGGAGCAAACAGG